rnacentral:rRNA from 1 species
UACGUAGGGUGCAAGCGUUGUCCGGAAUUAUUGGGCGUAAAGAGCUCGUAGGCGGCUUGUCACGUCGACUGUGAAAACCCGGGGCUCAACUCCGGGCCUGCAGUCGAUACGGGCUGGCUUGAGUGCGGUAGGGGAGACUGGAAUUCCGUGGUGUAGCGGUGAAAUGCGCAGAUAUCAGGAGGAACACCGGUGGCGAAGGCGGGUCUCUGGGCCGUAACUGACGCUGAGGAGCGAAAGCGUGGGGAGCGAACAGG